rnacentral:misc_RNA from 1 species
UACGAAAGGGGCUAGCGUUGUUCGGAAUUACUGGGCGUAAAGCGCGCGUAGGCGGCCUGCCAAGUUGGGGGUGAAAUCCCAGGGCUCAACCCUGGAACUGCCUCCAAAACUGGCAAGCUAGAGGAUGUGAGAGGAUAGUGGAAUUCCGAGUGUAGAGGUGAAAUUCGUAGAUAUUCGGAAGAACACCAGUGGCGAAGGCGACUGUCUGGCACAUUUCUGACGCUGAGGUGCGAAAGCGUGGGGAGCAAACAGG